UGACAGUCACUACUCUAACUCCGACAGCAUCCAUCAUCCUGGCUCUGAUAGCUAUGACCCCGACACCGACGGGUGCUAACGGCCUAGUGGGCUCUCCCCUACAAAAGAAAAGACAGAGGGAAAGAUAGAGGGAUUCUUCUUCUCCUCUACUCGAGACUCUCAUUCCUAUCUUCUUCCUCUACUAUUCUCCCUCUCCGACUAUCAUUGAUUUAACC
rnacentral:lncRNA from 1 species